AUAUUUAGCCAUUUUGCUUAUACCUGCUCUAUUGAUAAGGCUUAGGAGUUUCUCAAGUAAAAUUAAUUAGAGAUUCAGCAAUGUGGCUUUAAGUAGAAUUGACUGUUUUCGUUUGUGCUAUUUUUUUCACCCACAGACUGGUUGAAAUAGCAGAAUCCCGUUUUCCCAGAUAUUUUAACACUGAAGAAAAGUUACUUUUGACAAGUAGUAAAGUUCAUCUUUAUCGGGAACUCACCUGUGAUGAAGUUCUACAAAGGAUUGAAUCUUUGGAAGAAGAAAUUAUCUCAAAAGGAAUUAAACUUGUGAUUCUUGACUCUGUUGCUUCUGUGGUCAGAAAGGAGUUUGAUGCACAACUUCAAGGCAAUCUCAAAGAAAGAAACAAGUUCUUGGCAAGAGAGGCAUCCUCCUUGAAGUAUUUGGCUGAGGAGUUUUCAAUCCCAGUAAGUUUUUCUUUUUUUCUCUUUUUUCUUUUCCUUUCUUUUGUUUCUUUUAUAUUACAUUCACUGACUUAUGGUAUCAAAUAAUAAAAUUAGAGGAAAAUGUAAAACAGAUGACUUUUUAAAGGUAGUACAGUCUAAUUGCUAUAGCAAACAUCGCCAUCAUCUUAAAUUAGCUCAUCUGCUGAGAUUAUUUUAUUCUUUUAAUAAUUUGAGUCUGGAGUAGAUUUAAAUGAUGUUUUUAAAAGUUCCUAUAGUCCCUCCUUUUCUUCCUUCUCAUUGUUUACUCUUUGUGUGUGCUUUGUAUCACAUUUCUCACACUGCAGUAAAUAUAAAGUAGUAAAACUUC
rnacentral:sRNA from 1 species